GCACACAAAGCCUUCGAACUUGGAGCGUCGUGUCUUAAAAUCCGCUCACUAGAGGACGAGAAACCGGCGAAGUCGAGAGCAAACAAAGAACCUAUCGGUGUUCCCACGUUUAAUAAGGGUUUUAGAAGCUCGAGACCUCAGUGAGGUUUUAGCUUCUCAGGAAGAACAAAGUUUCGGUCUUGUCUUCCGUCUUGGCUCGAUCAAAAAGCUCGAUUUCCAGUGGAAAAAUCGUAGCUUUGCUCGAGAAGAGCUUUUGUACUAACUUAUUCGAGUGUUUUGGAGCUUGGAAGUGGCAUUUAUAAUGAUAAGGUAGUCAUCUCUUUCCAUUUUAAGCAUUUUAGCCCUCGACAUGAGUUGAAGUUUGAAAUUUUAGGCCUUUGGGAAGCCAAAAGGUUGCACCUCUCAAGUGUUUUUCUUCACUUCUUUAGCCUCUCGUCUGUCUUCAGUCCUGGCUU
rnacentral:lncRNA from 1 species